rnacentral:rRNA from 1 species
CAACGCUGGCGGCGUGCCUAAUACAUGCAAGUCGAGCGGAAUGAUGAAGAAGCUUGCUUCUUCUGAUUUUAGCGGCGGACGGGUGAGUAACACGUGGGCAACCUACCUUGUAGAUUGGGAUAACUCCGGGAAACCGGGGCUAAUACCGAAUAAUCCAUUUUGCUUCAUGGCGAGAUGUUGAAAGACGGUUUCGGCUGUCACUACAAGAUGGGCCCGCGGCGCAUUAGCUAGUUGGUAGGGUAAUGGCCUACCAAGGCGACGAUGCGUAGCCGACCUGAGAGGGUGAUCGGCCACACUGGGACUGAGACACGGCCCAGACUCCUACGGGAGGCAGCAGUAGGGAAUCUUCCACAAUGGACGAAAGUCUGAUGGAGCAACGCCGCGUGAGUGAAGAAGGUUUUCGGAUCGUAAAACUCUGUUGUAAGGGAAGAACACGUACGAGAGUAACUGCUCGUACCUUGACGGUACCUUAUUAGAAAGCCACGGCUAACUACGUG